rnacentral:tmRNA from 1 species
GGGGGUGUAAAGGUUUCGACGGGGAUUGUAAACCUUGAUAAGCGAGCAGCGGUGCGGGACCGCUAUAAAAUCCGCAACUUAAAAAUAACUGACAAAACUACAGUUAAAUUAGCAGCUUAAUGCUGCUCGUUCCUGCACAGAGUACCACGGCUGUGCAUGGGGCGUCGAUUAGUGGUAAAUGUGAACAGAGUAUUGCUCCGCACUCUGUCACAGCUUAGGAGCUGCCAAGCCGUAUAGCCUGUCGUUGGGCGAUGCGGUGAGGGAGAUUUAAAACAGCGACUGCGCUCGGAGAAAGUCUUGGCAAGCAGUUUUCGGACGGGGGUUCGACUCCCCCCA